rnacentral:lncRNA from 1 species
CGAGCAUUUUCUCUGCCCUGAGUACUCAGAACACAAAUAAAAGAAUCUGCAUUUCACUCAUUCCUGUCUCAAGUACCAAAUUAUGGUUUGCAGCAGUAGCUCUAAACCCCAUUCUGAUAUUGUGCACGGAAAUCCCAAGCACCUCUCCUUCCAUAUGUUUGGGAAUCCUCUCUGAAAUAUCCAGCCAUAGUUUCAGACAAAGAGUUUUGAAAUUUGGGUAAAUUCAGAAAGGUAUAUCCCAGGAUACACCUUCAAGAUAACUCUUUAGGAUUCUACGUUACUAUAGUGUAGGACAAUAAAAUGUAAGAAUACAGUCCUGAGUGUUUUGGUGAAACCCCUUGGCAGUGAAUAUGGAAAGGUUUAAUUGAAAUGAUUUCUGAAUAGAGUUAACCUGUGUAUAGAUAAAGCCUUUUCUCAGCUCUAAGUGGCUUUAAAACACCUGUAAUUAAAGUCCAACAUCCUCCUGGUUAUUUCAUGCUGCUGUAAGUACCUUUAUACAGAUAUUGAAACAGCCAUAGCAGGGUUUAUACAGAUAUAAACCAGCUGUACGUGGGCCAGCCCUGAAGUCAACCACUGCAAUUAACCUUACGCCACCAUUCUCCAUUUUAUUGUUAAGCAGUUGGCUAAAUGUAUUUGGUAAAAUGUCUUGUGAAGAAAUCAUGUUUACGAGUACUUUGGGCCAAUCUCUUGCCUGGUUUCAAAAAUUAUUUAUUUUUAAUUAUCAGGGCGCAUCCCUGUUCCUUAGGAGGCUUCGUGAUUUAGAGUACGGUACAGGAGGAAGUUGCUCGUCAGGUCUCGACACUGGACAGAAAGACAGCGUGUUCUGAGCAGGCAGCCUCACCGUGCCCGUGAACGUCCGUGCCAUCAAAUCCCUCCUCUUCGUCGCGAGCACUGAGCAGAAAACUCCUCUGUGAAGUAGGGUGACAAGUUUCCAGCGAGCCUGGGAUCGCGGGGAGGGCGAACGCCGAUAUCCCCGCGGUGUAAGGUACGCACAUCUCGCCUCGUGCAGCCCAGGAGCAGGGCAGAGCCCAUUUUUCCUUCUCUCCUUUUUUUUGGAUCUGCGGGCACACACGCUCCCUCGCAUGACGGAGCCGGCACGGCGAUAGUACGGUGCGAUACAAAUCGCAGGAAUUGAGUCAGCGCAGCGCUGCGGGGUGAUCUGUUCCCCUGCCAGACUGCCACGCUGCUGGGGUGACCGGGAACGAUUUAUUAUGGCCUGGGCCAACCCCGCUCUCCCUCCUUGCACCCCAUAAAGCCGCCGGGCCAGGGGCUGGGCACCCAGCUUCGCACCAAGGCUGGAUUACAGCCCCAAAGAUUUCUUCCAGGGGUGAAGCUAUGCUGGGAACGUGUCCCCCUCCCCCCAAUAAAUAAGAAAUAAAUCAGGAAAAUAAAUAAUAA